GAGUACUGGUUUGACGGAUUUUGGGGUGGGGUCGGAUGCGCAUGCCUCUGAGUAAAUUGAGGGUUACUUAGCUGAAAUUGAUGAUUAGGUUGGGGAAAUUGAGCAUUCAGAUACAUAUGCUGCCCGUAUGCUAACUGCCUUGAAGGGUUAAGACUAGAAGGUUCCUGUGAGCUGCACCCUGCAGCUGCGACAAAAGCAGAAGGCUGUGGAACUUCAUUUGUGACAACUGCAUUAUUGUGACCUCCAGAAAAUGAAUUUCCAGCCAUUUGAGCUACUUGGUUACCCUGUAUAAAGGACUGAGUUUAUCAAUAUAUCAGUCAAACAAAUCCAUAGAAACCAGUGAUAUUUAAUAGCAAAGCAGCCUUACGCUAGUUGUGCCACUAUAGUUAGGAGGUACAUUCUGCUGAUAUCCCAACUGAUGUGAUGACUGUGGUGGCAUUAAUGAUUGUGAGACAAGUGAAGACCGAGCAGGUCCAGAUGAUUGGAGAACCAAUGACAGUGGAGGGCCUGAGGGUGGUAAAGGAGGAGGUGGGGGUUGCAACAGUGGGGGAGGUGGAGGCGGAGGAGAUGGAGAUAAUGGAAGAGAUGGUGGAGGUGAAGAAGGCAAAGGUGGGAGUGGAGGGGGUGAAUCAAGCGGCAAUGGUGGAGAACCAUUCAGAGUAGGUGAUAUCUCUACUGAAAUAUUUGAAGUUGGAUUCGGAUGCCUACAAGAUCCCUGACGCUGCAAAUCAAUUUCAUCUGAACUAUUAAAAAGUGCAGGCCUUUCAUCUUUCGGGUGACCUGAAACAUCUUCCAUUUCUAGCUCACCAUCCACAUCCUCCAAGAUACAGUGACGCUUAUCACUUGGGGUAACAGUUGAAGUUUCUGAUUCUCCAAGGGUAGGCGUGGGAUCUGCAGGAGAUGCACCAUCUGUAUCCUUACAUGAAUUGAUUGGUAAUUCAUCUUCAUCUUCAUCUUCUUCAAAUGCAUGACAAAAGAAGCCAGGCAGCUGAAAUGUAGCAUUACUGGUAUACAACAUCAAGGAAACAUGAAUCAGAAAUAAAAAUUACUUUCUAAAACAGUUAGAAUGGUACUAGAACAUGAAACACCAAACAGAAAUUAGAGCAUGAUGUAGUUAAUAAACAGUCCAACCUAGUAAAAAUGGCAAAUGCAAAGCAUAAAAAAUUCCAUUUGAUAAUUAUAAAAGUAUUCUAUUCCAUUUUGUGGUAGUAUCUGCUACCUCAUUUACAGAUUCAGACUUUACUAUAUCUCCUGGGUUUAAGAAAGAUAAGCUAAUUGUACAGCAACAACAAUGACUGGUGAGCUAAUUGUAUAACGAUGAUCAGGGACUCUUGAAAGCGAAAACAGUAAGAAUAAAAACAAAAAUUCUGGAGCAACCAAUCUGAAAAAUUGAUGCAACAAACCUUCCAUACUCAUCAACAAGCAUGCCUUCCAUUUCUCUAAUUGGGUCAUCCACAGCCCGCUCUGCUCGAGAUGGGCGCCUGAAAGAAAGGCUAAUUGUUGAAAAGCAAUCCUCCCAUAACAUGACUAAAAAGCUUACUUCACUAAUACAAGACUCCAAUCAUCUUCAACUGGGUCUCCAACAAUUAAGAGCAGAAAUGUCUGAUCUACUAGGCAACAUCUGAGGAACACCAUGUCCUGAAAAAGGAAAUGAGUAUGAUUCAUACCAUAUAUGUAGUUUGUUAACAAGUGGAAGCUCAAUGGGAGGGGGCAGGCAUAUAUAAGGGAGAACUAGAAAAAUUAACCAGUAUAAUAAAAAUAGUUGUCACCUGCUACUGGAGGAACAGCUGGUACAUUGUUUGAAAUUACACGCUGAAAACUUGCAUUGCUUACUGAUGGUCUUUCAACUGGUGGCUUAAAAUUACCUUCAUCACCAGAAAUAUAUAUCAUGUAUAACAUUCAGAAUACUCUUGCAAACAACAUUAAGUGCCAGUAACACCUCUGCAACUAGAGAGCAACUACUCAUAUGACCAACAGAAAUAACAAACAGUAAAAUUAAAAAAAUACGGAUGGACAAGAACCUCAAUAGUAAGCUGAUAAGUACAAGAAUGAGAUACAUACAAUAAAUAGUCUAACAUAACCCAUAUUUACCAGAACAACCAUUUGGAAUGGUAAACAAAAUAGAUUCGCAUACCUUCUUGCCCAAAGGGUUGACCAGGGCAUGAAGGAUUUCUCCCGAUCCAAACACCAUGUUGAUUGUUUGUUUUACAUUCAUUCGAUGACAUUCUCCGUUGUUCAUCAGGAGCAAAUUGUCUCAUUCCAUCUGGAAGGGGUGGCAAAGAGAAGGGAGAAUGGAAUGAAUGAGGAAGAUGUUGCUGAACUGUAGGGUUUGGGUAUGAGUACUGGUUUGACGGAUUUUGGGGUGGGGUCGGAUGCGCAUGCCUCUGAGUAAAUUGAGGGUUACUUAGCUGAAAUUGAUGAUUAGGUUGGGGAAAUUGAGCAUUCAGAUACAUAUGCUGCCCGUAUGCUAACUGCCUUGAAGGGUUAAGACUAGAAGGUUCCUGUGAGCUGCACCCUGCAGCUGCGACAAAAGCAGAAGGCUGUGGAACUUCAUUUGUGACAACUGCAUUAUUGUGACCUCCAGAAAAUGAAUUUCCAGCCAUUUGAGCUACUUGGUUACCCUGUAUAAAGGACUGAGUUUAUCAAUAUAUCAGUCAAACAAAUCCAUAGAAACCAGUGAUAUUUAAUAGCAAAGCAGCCUUACGC
rnacentral:lncRNA from 1 species